rnacentral:pre_miRNA from 1 species
GUUGUGGGGUAUGUUGUCUGGUUCGAGAUCAUGGAGGUUAACUUAUUUUUUUUUGUUAUUUUUCUUAUAAAUAAUUUUCUGUUUUUACAAAUUAUUUAUGGGGUUUUUCUCCAUUUAUAAUUUGUAUAAAUUGAAAAGAUAAAAAGGAAAAAGAAGAAAAACCCUACAUGAUUCUCGGACCAGGCUUCAUUCCUCCCAAC